AACUAUUCUUCUACCACCCAUAGCUUAUUCAAUUUUUUGCAAGAGAGCAAUCAAUACCAACAAUGACAAGAUAGAACCUAGAGCCCUGUGCAUAUUAGGGAAGUGUUCUGCAAAUGAGUCAUGUCCCCAGAAAAAUCACAUUAUUUUAAGGUGGCAAAGGGACCAUGAGACCUGGGCAGUGAGAUGCCAUAGAAAACCC